UACAGAGGUCCCAAGCGUUGUUCGGAUUCACUGGGCGUAAAGGGUGCGUAGGUGGCGGGGUAAGUUUGAUGUGAAAUCUCUGAGCUUAACUCGGAAACUGCAUUGAAUACUAUCUUGCUGGAGGGUUGGAAGGGGGACUGGAAUUCUUGGUGUAGCAGUGAAAUGCGUAGAUAUCAAGAGGAACACCAGUGGCGAAGGCGGGUCUCUGGGCAACAACUGACGCUGAGGAGCGAAAGCGUGGGGAGCGAACAGG
rnacentral:rRNA from 1 species